rfam:Porphyromonas asaccharolytica DSM 20707, complete genome.
GGGGCUGAUUGGCUUUGACAGCGUGUUGUAGUGAUCCGUAAGCAUGUGGUGCCUGCUGUGACGCACCUUAAAACCUUACUGCGAACCUUUCUAAAUGGCGAAAACAACUUUGCUCUCGCUGCGUAGUCGAAGUAUAGUACACUAACGCUUCAUCCCAGGCAUAGAUGCCGAGACGAGACAUCACCCAGGGGGCCGUUGCUCCGAGGCGCUCUGAUACGGUGGUGCAUGGAUAUCGGGGAUCGGAUGGUGUAGCCUCAUACAUCGUCUUAAACUUUAGAGGAUAAGGCUUUAGCUCGGUCGCUGUGCUCGUGAGUUGAGGCCCGACAAUCAAAGUACAGCUAAACAUGUAGAAAGCGCUUUACCACCAUGUUUGGACCGGGGUUCAAUUCCCCGCAGCUCCACAA